UCCCUGUGUGUCAACCUCUGUGCUUCGUGGCAAGGUAGACUAGCAAACAUGCCCAACCUUUACUCACAUUCGAGAAAACACUCCCAACAAGAUUGCUUGCUCCAAAAUCGAAGAGGCACCGCCCUCCGAAUCUCGAGAGCCAGACUCCCAACAUGAUUACUUUCUCAAAAAUCGAAGAGACACUGCUCCCCGAAUCUCGAGAGCCAGACCCCCAGCAUGAUUGCUUUUUCAAAAAUCGAUGAGGCAUCGUUCUCCGAAUCAAUCGAAGAGGCGCUCGCUUUCUCAAAAGCUGGGCUGCUCAGAGACCACGAGGGCCGAUCUCAGAAAUCGAAGAGGCACCUACUUUUCUAGCCUUGUCAGCACCUGUCACACGCACACUCAGCUUUGCAGAAAUUAUGGGCAUUCUGUCGAAGACUUCUGGUGAAGUAGAAAGCACAUGAAUCUUACUGUUCAAUCACCCACUUCCCACACGCAACAAUAGCUCAUGGGUACCACAAAUAACUUUGCCAAAGUUCUCUGCCAAAGUUGAGCACGUGAAGCUUGCAGCUCCCACUACAUCGCUCUGACCAAGAAAGGUAAAAGAAUAGCAAAGAAACAGCACUAACAAAAGUUUAGACACAUAAAUUUUGAAGGUCUAGCUACCAUAUUAUUACCCACAACUGUAAAGGAACAGUACCACUGCUGGAUAAUUGGAAAGUCCCUGUGUGUCAACCUCUGUGCUUCGUGGCAAGGUAGCCUAGCAAACAUGCCCAACCUUUACUCACAUUCGAGAAAACACUCCCAAUAAGAUUGCUUGCUCCAAAAUCGAAGAGGCACCGUCCUCCGAAUCUCGAGAGCCAGACUCCUAACAUGACUACUUUCUCAAAAUCGAAGAGAGGGUAAAGGAACAGUACCAUUGCUGGAUAAUUGGAAAGUCCCUGUGUGUCAACCUUUGUGCUUCGUGGCAAGGUAGACUAGCAAACAUGCCCAACCUUUACUCACAUUCGAGACAACACUCCCAACAAGAUUGCUUGCUCCAAAAUCGAAGAGGCACCGCCCUCCGAAUCUCGAGAGCCAGACUCCCAACAUGAUUACUUCCUCAAAAAAUCGAAGAGACACUGCUCUCCGAAUCUCGAGAGUCAUACCCCCAGCAUGAUUGCUUUCUCAAAAAUCGAAGAGGCAUCGUUCUCCGAAUCUCGAGAGCCAGAUACCACAGACCACUUUUUCAAAGUGCUCUGACAGAGUUAAAACAUGUGAAACUGGCAGCUCCCACUACCGUGCUAUGACCAAGCAGGG
rnacentral:lncRNA from 1 species